GACGAACGCUGGCGGCGUGCUUAACACAUGCAAGUCGAACGGAAAGGCCCUGCUCUUGCUGCUUUCUCGAUUGGCGAACACGUGUGUAACACAUGAGUAUACUGCCCUUAACUUUCGGAUAUCUUCAGGAAACUGGGGCUCUUACCGCAUAUGAGCUCCUGCUGCAUGUUGGUGGUUGGAAAGUUUCGGCGGUGGGGGAUGGACUCGCUGCUUAUCAGCUUCUUGGUCGAGUAGUGGCUUACGAAGGCUUUGACGGGUAGCCGGCAUGAGAGAGUGGCCGGGGACAUGGGGACUGCGAGACGGACCAGUAGGCUAUGGGCGGCAGUAGGCGAGAGUAUUGCGCAAUGGGCGGAAGCCUGAUGCAGCAACGCUGGGUGCGGGAUGACGGCCUUCGGGUUGUAAACCGCUUUCGCCGGUGACGAAGCGUGCGUGACGGUAAUGGGUAAGGAAGCAACAGCUAACUACGUG
rnacentral:rRNA from 1 species